rnacentral:misc_RNA from 1 species
GUCGUAACAAGGUUUCCGUAGGUGAACCUGCGGAAGGAUCAUUACCACACCUCUUUUUAUUAGUAUAACUAAUGAAAGCUUUCGGGUUUUCAUCAAGUGUACUAACAAAAAAAACAAGAGAAAGAUGCGAGAAUGUAAAAACUCUCAAGUCUGACUUUUGCGUCCCACGGAACUAAACUAUUUUAUACUUGUGUUAAUAUGUCCUCGGAUAUAUUAACACAUUUAUAAUACAAACAAAAUAACAUUUCAUAUGUUGAUCUGAUUAUGAUAUUCAAUAAUUAGGAGUCAAUUCGUUUAUUCGACUUGAUGACUAUAUAAAAAUUAAUGAAAAAACACUUUCAGCAACGGAUGUCUUGGCUCCCAU